UACAAUAUUAAAGGAAAAAGAUUUUAAACAGAAAAUAGAGAAAGAAUUGGCUUUCUUUUUUAAAGAAAAUAGAAAAGAGGAUACUUCUUUACAGAAUCUCUGGGACAUGAUGAAGGCCUGCACAAGAAGUUUGAUAAUUGACUAUACAAGGAAAGGAAAUAUAAAACAGAAAAAGACUUUUAGUUUGAUAGAAAAAAAAAGUACAG